UACGAAGGGGGCUAGCGUUGUUCGGAAUUACUGGGCGUAAAGGGCGCGUAGGCGGCGUGUCAAGUCAGGCGUGAAAGCCCCGGGCUCAACCUGGGAACCGCGCUUGAGACUGGCAUGCUCGAGUUCGGGAGAGGAUGGUGGAAUUCCCAGUGUAGAGGUGAAAUUCGUAGAUAUUGGGAAGAACACCGAUGGCGAAGGCAGCCAUCUGGACCGACACUGACGCUGAGGCGCGAAAGCGUGGG
rnacentral:rRNA from 1 species